rnacentral:rRNA from 1 species
UACGGAGGGGGCAAGCGUUGUUCGGAAUUACUGGGCGUAAAGCGCGCGCAGGUGGUCCAUUAAGCCCGGCGUGAAAGCCCCCGGCUCAACCGGGGAGGGUCGUCGGGGACUGGUGGACUUGAGGGCGGCAGGGGCUGGUGGAAUCCCCGGUGUAGUGGUGAAAUGCGUAGAGAUCGGGGGGGAACACCCGUGGCGAAGGCGGCCAGCUGGGCCGACCCUGACACUGAGGCGCGAAGGCGUGGGGAGCGAACGGG